ensembl:lncRNA
CUUUUACUCAGAAAAUACAUAGAAUGAAACUAAAGUGUAGUGCCAAUACUGCCAAUAAUAUUUAUACGCAUGCAGAGAAGACUGAGUACUACCUAUAGCAGAGUUUGUCCAGGAUUAGCUGAAUGCCUUAGCUGAAUAAAUAGAUCUCCAAAUGACACUCUGAACAACAGGGGAAAGUGAAAUUAAAAUGAGAGUCACGACAACUUACGUAAAAGCUUGUUUCUUUUUUCUCUGAAUUCUGCAGUAGACCUCAUGCAUCCUGUCCUUCCUAUGGGGAACUUUAUUGCAGAGCAAAGGACUUCAAAUAUUUAUACUCCACAUUAUAAAAAUGAGAUGAUAAUGAGUAUUCCUGUCACUUUAACUGUCAUUUAGAAAGCAUCACAUAAUUAUCUAAGUUGAUCUACAGGUGUCAUCUGUGAGAAUUCUGAUCUUGUGCAACAGUGAGACCUAACAAGAAUCUGUAUGUAGAAUGAAGGUUUUUGUAAAAACUUCUUAUUUGUAAAAUAUUCAAUUCUUACAGGUUUUAGUAUUCGCCUUACAAACCAGUGGAAGAGUAGGAGCACAGAAAAACUAAAGAUAUUCAUCGGCAAAUAUUACAAUAGUUUUUUCCUUCCCUACCUUCUCCUACUAUACCACUAUGAUGUGGAAUACCAAUAACAAAAAAUCAUAAAACCAUGACACCUCCCAGCCAAAUACCAAAUGAAUUAUCCCUUUUAACGCAAACUUGAACUCUGGAAAAACACUUUUAUCAGUUACGUUAUAAACACCACUUAUAGAGUUUCCUUCAUUUUACUGCCUGUCGGAUAAGACAUUCUUCAUUUCAGAGAUGACAAAAUUAGGUAAUAAAAUUUCAGAAAGGAUUUGAGCCCCACCUUUCUAUAUGAUUUAUGAUACACCUAUCACAGUACAGCCCUUCCAAGAGAGCCUGAUUGAGCAAUAAUUUCUUUUGACUCUGGAUUAAGGCCUCAUUUGUGCUUUAGAAAAGUAAUCAUACUUGUUUUAUUAAUAUACAAGAAGGGACAAGGAAAUAUCUUCUAUAUCUGGCUGCUAGUCGUGUUCCCAAUGAUAAAAGAAUUCCUUUGGCAAGCGAUUCUGUCACUUCUCAAAUCAAAGUCACCUGGGGUACUCCUUCUAACUAUUUGACUGUGUCAAAGGGCUGUAUCUCUGAUUCUUGAUCUUACAUGCCUUUGCUUGUAAUAGGAGCAACGUACUUUUCCUCAUGGCUAUACUAAGGAAGCCUGUGAUGGUGCAAUGAAGAAAGCUGUUUGUUAGGCUGGUUUAUUUUUGGAUGACUGCCCUAUUCCAGCUGUCAACUUGUAAAGAGUAUUCCUUGUGUGUAUGUUUGGGGGUGGAAGAGCAUAUAUCUUAGUAGUAAUUAGUGUCCCAGAAACAAUGCUUCCUGCUUCAUCUGGUAGAGUACCAAGCAGGUAGAUUAGAGCUUAGUGAAUUACACCCAAGGGCUGUCUGUAACCUUCAAAUGCGCUAUCGUAUUAUUUCAUUUUCAGACAGUUUAAUACAGCUCCUGAUCAUUAAUAUAAUUUUAAUAUCUGACAGUGCAAAAGGGUAAUAAUGUUACAGGGCUGAGAAAGUGGAAAAAAAUGAAACAGCCAUCACUGCUCAUGAUUCACUUCUUCUAUAUCAUUCCUAGAAAAGAUAUUUUAUUGUCUUUCUCUGUAUUCACAGCUCAGGAAAAGAUUCAGUCAUUCACUUCCAAGACUGCUAAAAAUGAUUUUAAUUCAAUUUCUAUUUGUUUCCACUCUUACCUCCUCUUCAGGCACUAGCCAAAUGCCAUCUGAGGUCCCACUCAGCCUCUCAUUUGCAGGCAUUUCUUUACCACCUGUGAGCUUCCCUCAGGUGUGUGACUGACAGCUACAGCACAUGCCUGGGGUUGAGGGGCAGUUACUGAUAAGGUCUGUGGUUUGCUCCAGAGAUUGAUGUCUGUGAAUCAAAACCAGGUUAUCAGAGGUAUUUCUUGGAUGCUUUGUAGUUCUUUCCUGAAACUGCUCUGUCUUUUCUUAUUCAUCUUAAAUUUUUGCAGAGAUUUAACUAUAACUUCAGAUUUGUGGGUCUCAAGUUUCCAGAGAUGGAGAGAUCUCUGCCUUUUGUUUUCCCAAGUCCUCUCUGAGUCACAUGUAGAGGAAAUUAGUACGUGAAUUCUGUGGCCUGCAGAGACCACUGUUGCCUUCUGCAACAACGAUGUUAGCCACCUGUGUUAGGCCUCUGCGCUCACUGACCAAUUACCUGAUCAGGGCCAAAUGACUGCAGACGCACACCAAUAUGAUGAGCAGCAAAAUGGCGUUUAUUCACUACAAAUACACAGCUUAUAUACAUUUUUACCUACAAAACCGUGCUGUCAUGUCCCACUCUGAUUGGUUCACACCAGAUAACAUUGUGCCUUAUUUGGCCGUUUCCACAUUCUUUUCUCAUCCUUCUUCUUCUCCUGUUUUCUCUGCAUCAAGGUCAGCACGAUAGCACUGUCUCUCUAUGCUUAGGAAGAAGCCUGUCCUGUACAUCCCGUGCCCCCGCAAGACACCUACUACAACAGACCACCACCUACAGCUAUAUAAAAAUGCCAUGGCAUUGCACUUUGACAAGUGAUAGUAAGCUGAAAAGCAGAAGUGGCUGGUCUACUUGAAAUACUACAUUAAUGCACUUAAACUACUUUCAGAAUUGAAGAUAACAUCUGUAUGGGACUGUAAUAUUCUCCAUCCACAGUUUAGUUCACUUAGAGCUAGGCCAGGCAACUAUGUAUUGCACAAUACAGACUCAGCAUCAGACUUGCAAGCUUUCUGAAGCAGAAUUUGCCCUCUCUCAGAGGAGAUUUAUGCCAAAGAAUGCAAUGCAUGACAAAGACUGAAUUGGUUGACCUCCUUCCACUGGCAACACUGGCCAUUCCUUCCCAUUAUUUUCUGCUGCUUAAUCAAUUAACUGUGUGAUGAUCUUUGAUUUUACCUGUGUCUGGUUAAUUUAAGAACCUAUCAUUAAGAAACUUGUUUAAUUACUUUUGAGAAUCCAGUAUUCCAGAAAAAUCAGCAUGCCACAAGAUUAUUCCUUGCCUGCAGUCAAGGACUACUUUAGAGAGCACAGAAACACCUGUGUAGCAGAAAAUGCUAAGUCACAGCCUGAAGCAGUGAUUGAGCACCUGGUGUAUGCAGUGCACCUGAGUGACCAGAACGGGGGGAGCUAGGAUCCACCCCUUCCCAGACCUCGUGUAAGGGUUGGCAGUGGAGGCAAGGGUAUCUUGUUGGAGAUCCAUGCAUAGCUGAGGCCUUCCAAAGGUAAGCAAUUUUUUUUUCCUUCUGUCUCUGCAUUUGUGGUUGUUGUGUUUGAUCUUGUCCUCAUUUGUUGCAGCCAAAGACUUUGUCACCCUGUUAUGUUCUUUCCAGCACGUUAUAGCGUUACAACCUGUAAACUCUGACUUUAUUUGAUGUGUUUUUUAAAAAGCAAUGUGCUAUGUUUAAUUUUAGAACACGUGAUUAUAUACUUAAAUUAGUUUCCAUCAGUUUGCUUGGUAGAAUCAUCUAGCUUAUCAGUCUCUGAAAACCUUUACAAUUUUUUAAGUGUGGCUGAAAAAUCCAUGAUACUAAGUAUGGCAGGAAGGCAUUCUGAGGAAAAGAACUCCAUGAAUUUUUAAUGCAUAAUAACUACUCACAGUCCUGUCUGAUAUGUAGCCCCAUAAACAGCUAUCUCUGCUUUCUAAGAUGUUCUGCCCAACUGCUAUGAUACUUUCCUGCUCACCUGGAUCCUGCUUGCAGUUUUGCUGACAAACUCCAGCUCACUUGAUUGCCUUAGUCAUUUUACCUCAUGAUUUGUCCUGUUUGGUAGUAAAAAAUUAGAUAAUCAUUAUAAGCAAUAAGAUUAUGAAGAUAAUUGACAAAUGAGGUUGUUGAAGGAUUUACUGCUUUGGGCUGAUCCUUGACUAGUUACCCUGAAAAGGAGCCUCAUCUAGUUCACAUUGCUAGUAAUUAUCUUCAUCUUUAUUGCAUUGUAAAUACUGCUUUAAUUACUGUACUAUUUAGCUUGUGAGAUGAGAUUUAAUAGCAGUAACUUAAAUAGGAUUCUUGUACUGCCACUUUUUUCCUUCCCUUAAUUUCUUUUAUUUAUACUUUCUUUUAUGAUAAACACGCGAUGAAGAUUGGCAAAGACACCUGAAUGUGUUUGCAUCAUUAAUGCCUUAAAAAUGGAUUCCCUAAUGGGUGGAUUAAUUCAGUUGAGAAACAAAAAUAUACUCCUUCAGGGAACCAACAUGAUGGACCUGUGCUGGGAUACAGUCAUUUCCUAUUAUUCCAAGUUUCCUUGGCUUACAGCAGCUCCAAUUACAGUAAAUGCUCUGUGCUAACUUGUAUCUAGUGAGAUAUUAUCUGCCCCAAUUCAUUCUAGUCUGAUCUAUUACCAGAUCUGGAGGUUGGUGGCCCUGCCUGUGGUGAGGGUGUUGGAACCUGAUGAUUCUUGGGGACCCUUCCACCCCAAGCCAUUCUAUAAUUUUAUGAUUUGCCUUUACAUCUAGAUAAGCUUGCUAAAAGAUGUUUGUUUGACAUGAAGAAGAUGUUUGUAUACACACAAGUAAUGUUAUGGGCUGAGCAUGUUCGUUGGUGGAGUAUACACUGCCCCUCUGUGCAGAGACAUACAAGAACUUUGAGUGCAAAAGAAAUUUGCUCCUUAUCUGAUGCUUAAAAUACACAAAUUCCCCUUCUCUUCUUUGGUCUUCUCAAUGAAUGAGAGCUAUAGUGAUGGCUGGACUUGGGAAAUAUUUCCUACCGAGCAUGUUUAUUGGUUUGUAGUUAUUUUCCGGAAGAAAUCUGUAGAACCUCAGUACAUCGGUUGUUUAAAAUAGAACUAGACAAAGCCUGAAGUUUUCUAUCAUGCAUGCAAGCAGAAAAAAUCCUUCAGCUCUAAAUGGAGUUCAUCAUGCAGAGUGAAAAGUGACCAGUUGUUGUUUAGUGUUCAUAAUUGUCCAGAAGUAUUAAUGAGGGAAUUUUCUCCAAAGUCUAAAAAUGAAGUAUUUUAAAAUGUCAAGAAUUACCGCUGGACCAAAAUUGUAGCUGGCUUUUGUAUAAUACAUUAAAUAAAUACUCAAAUUAUUUUCUUAAAUUAAGGCCUCCCUUUCUCAGAAAUUUGCUUCAGGUACAGCACGGCAUAUGCCCUGUUCUCUUAAAAGAUCAAUGUCUACAAAUUAAGUACUAUCAAUUAAUAUAUAUUCUUCUAUACUUCACCUAUCAGAAAAGUGGCCAUCAGUUAUAAAAAAUAAAUUUAAAAGAUCUUUGUACCAAAGUAAUUAUAUAAAAUUUUACUCUGUCAUGAAAGAUAAACAAGCCUUUUCAUAAAACAGACCUGCCAAAUUGAGUAUGUUUGACUGAAUGCUUAAUACAGGAUACUGUGCCAUAGUUUGGUAGGAAAUAUGAUUUAUUCCUCCCAACUUCCAUUAGAGUCUUUGUGUCGCAUACUCUGUGCUACCCUCAUACCCCUGUUCCUCUUCCAUCAAAUGCAUUUACUGUCCCCGCAACAGAAGGCUGGGGGUGGAUAAAAAAUGUGCCUGCACAGCUAGGAGUGCUUUGGUGCCAUUGUAAUGUGGGCAUAAAAUCAAGGAACAUAUGUAGACGCAGCUGCUCACAGUUGUGAAGGCAUGUAAAAAAUAUGGGACAGUUGAAAAACUUUGAUUGAUUUUAUAACUGGGGAGCUAUAUAUUUUUAUUGUAGACUCUAUGAACCCACAAAAAGUGAUGUUUUCCUUUUGUACAUUUAUUCAUUGCUCGUUUACAACAGAGUAAUUCUAUCGUGCAACAAACUGGAAGGUUUAUGUCUAGUCUCUUCACCAGGAGUUUUAAGUUCAUUGCACUAAAUCUGUCUGACAGAGAAACCAGACAGUGACAAGGACUGGAGCAUUGCAGAGAAGGCUGAAAGGAUGUCUUAGUGUGAAUCACAUCCCUGGCCGUAUUUCAGUUCUCUGCACAUAGCUUGUUAAAGGAACUAGGAAAGCUUUUUUGUUUCUUUUUCCUUCCCCUUUGUGUUGAUAUCCUAGAGUGGAUUGUUUGAGGGAAGACUAGAAGCCUAGUUAGAAGUUCUCUGAGAAGGACUAAAUGUAUACCAGAUUACUUUUUCAAUUAUGUUCCCAAAGCAGUCCUUAUUUUAUAUAUGUUUGAAGUUGCAUAUGCCCUACGGAUCUUCAUACAAGUCUUCUCCUCAUUUGGUGAAUGUCUUACCUAACUCUUCUUCAAAGGCAGUGAUCUCACAGUGACCAUUCCAGUAAAUAAUAAAAGAGAGAGAACGUUGCUGAACGCUGCUUGAGGCUUUUCCAUUUUAAAGCGAUCCAGGAUCUGUAACUUAAGGAGUGCAGAGGUAAUCAAAGUAGGGGAAUACCAAAGGAGAAACGACAUAGAGCAGAAACAACUGUAUACAGAAACACAGGAAAACUCUUGAAAUUGCAAAUAUUAUAUGUCUCUGAGUAAACUUUAUACUUUAAUGCACUGGCCCUAUCCUGGAAAUUUGGCUUUUAAAUUUAGCAUGAAAAGCACAAAGCCAUACAUAAGCCAUGCAUAAACGUGCCACUACACAAAAGAUGUCACUUACCCUCAUCCUGUGCGAGGCCAUGAGAUGACAAAAAUUAAAUCUCUCUCUUACUGUGCAAAAUGAGUAAACAGAGAGAAAUUGCUACCAUGUAGAGAUGUAGUAAGGAUCACCGAGCUAACACCUUCAGUGCACUUUUAAAGUGCAUGCACUUUUGUUACAAACUGAGCCCUUUCAGAGAAGGAAAGUAGGUAUAACUAUUAUUUCUACAUCAGUCACUCAUGUUCUAAUUUGUUAAUUGAGCUAAAACACCAGAUGGAGAAAGAAAGAUGUUUGAUACUAAGAGUUAGCAUUGCAGUAGUUAUAUGCAAUAUUCUAUUUUUAGUGAGAAAGCAGAUGAGAGCUCAUGUAGAAAAAGAUACAACAGUAGGAACCAGGAUUUUAUGGCAUUGGGUUUCCACCAAAUUGCUACAGUAAUAACAUCAUCAGAGUGUGUUCCUUUUAAAGUCAGCAGAACAAUUAUUAUGAUUCAACUUGACCCGAACUGAUACUUUGUAGAACCUGUCAAGGAGAGGUUUCUUUCUAUACAAGCAAACAGCUGCAAGUAUCUGCUUUUGACUUAAACUUUCCAAUUAGCUAACACUUAUGUGCACAUGAAUAGAUGUGAAUCUCCUAAAAUGGGAGGAAUAAUGACUAGGAGAAGUCAUAUCCAUGGUAUGCAUAAAAAGUUAGUAAACAAACUUGCAAAUUUUGCAACUCCCCACUGGAGUCAUCUUCCACCACCUGUAACACUGAAAGAGUAAAUAGUGAACACGAACUUUUACCUCUGGAUUGAUUUGGAAUUCAGACAGAUUGGGUCAAAAGAAAAUCAAACCCUGUUUUAAAGAAGUCUGAAGAGCAAAGCAAAAAAACUGAGUCUCAAUCUAAUCUUAAGCUACUAUCAUCGGUAGUUUUAUGAUAAACAGAAAAUAAUUAAGAAAAUAUAUAUUGCAUCUAAGAUAAACAUAUAGGUGUAGAGGUAUCUGUUAGUGAUUUACAGUACAAUGUUACACAAUAUUCUCCUUUGGAUAAUUUUAGGUUUUCGGUCUCCAAGAAUUAAUUUCUCCAAAGGCUGGAGUUUGUUUCUGUCUUCCUCACCACAUGGUCAGACUAUCAAUUUCCUCACCUUUCUAGCUACAUGAAGGACAAACCCAGGGUUUUUAUAACAUUGAGAACACAAAUAAUUGUAAUUUCUAAUUCAGUGCCAUCAAGACUUGGGUGACUGAAGCUUUCUGUGUCUUGCCUCUCGGUGUCAUUGGUGCCACCUUGUUUCUCAACUAUUCUGAGACCAGAGAAACAGCAUGAGGCUACUGGUUGAAACUGGAUGAAGGUAACCAACUGACCAGUCUUGAGGUAGCUGCACGUGGCAUUUGAAGAGGGUAGGAUGUGUCUCGAUAAAAAUGUAAAGCAGGGGCCCAGGCUUUCUUGAUUCUACUGCUAGUUGUCAGGGAACAACAUGGGCUAGCUGCCCAUGAAGAGGGGUGGGAAAGCCAAGGAGUUCCCCGCCACAUACACACCUGAAGGGUCUGAGUUAGGACUGUGCAACGUGGCAAAAGAAUUGAGACCUUGCCUCACCUGGGCAGUCCCAACAAAGUCUGCAUGAGAUAGUGCUGUGAUGUGAGGCUGAGUGACCCUGUUAGUGCUGAGAACCAGCAUCUCUGCAGCAUGGCUCAGAGAAGGACUGAACUUCCAGGCCUGGAGCCCUUGAGCCUAUGGACUGUGGAGGAAUUGGGGAGGAUUUCACAGGUGAGGCUGGUCAGGGCUUUUAAUAUUUCUGAAUCCAGGCCCUGAAAUCAGUACCGCCCUUACAAUCACCUUAGAACUUGGAAAAAUCAGUGAUGCUUUCAAAAGUAUCCACUGACUCUGAGGAAUCAAAUUUAAGGACUCUUUGCAGUCUUGCAACAGUGCUCAAACAUCUGCAUUAUUCCUCCGGCCCUCAUCACUAUACUGAACUGUAGGGAAACUGUCAAAAUGCAUUACUAUCUGCAACUUUAUAUUUUAUAGGUCAAAUCAUUGUCCCUACUUUACAGGUAGGAUUACAGGUAGGAUUUCAAGGCCAGGGCAGGCUGUUGGCAUGUCUGCACUGAAGUGCACACUGCAGUGAAGUGUGAAACAUACUUCCUUGGGGUAAUAAUGUUCAUAGAUGCUUCAGAACCAGAACAAUCUCAGCACAGCCUCUGAGCAAAUGAACUGUAAUGAUAAAAGAAUGAAUUUACAAGGUCUGGCACAGCGGUGUCAGAUGUGGCCAGAUUGCUUUCAGAUCUCAUGAUUUUCUGUUCCUUAUUAAGUGGUGCUUUGCAAAUGUAUCAGCUUGGAAUUUCCAUGCUGUACUUCACUGUAUGUUGCAGCCAUGCCUGAAGUGGUUCACUUGCAGAUAGCGAGGGAAUUAAUGGCAGAGUGCAAAAUACUUUUGGAAGAUUCUUACUACAGCCUUGACUAAUGCUGAAUAGAUCACCUCUGGGAGUCACUGAGAGGAAUGGGAAUAGCUGCAAAAAAGGCAAAUGUUCUUGAGGUUGACAAGAGGUGAAGCACAUUUUAAGAACAGUUGUAUAAAUCUUCCUGUUUGGUCUGAAACACAGGAACAUCUCUUAGCUCUCAUUCAAAUCAAGAAGGAAAGAAGAGUACACCUCAUUCAGAGAUGGUAAGCAGAGCUUACCAACAGUAUUCCAGUCUGUGCUGCAGUCUCAGCAUUCUUUCUGUUUACCUUAUUACCUGACAGAAAUAAUUUGCAUAAAUUAAAAAAAAAAAAAAACAAGCCACAAACAAACAAAACCAGUUGAGCCCAUCCUGUUCUGUUAGAUGUGGUAGCCAACUUUCAGAGUGAACUCAAUUCCAGAAAGAUUUGUUCUGCUGUUGCAGACUUUCCAUUUCUCUUUCCCCUGCUAGGGCCAUGUAAAGCAAUUCUUGAAAAUGUUUCCAAGACUGCAUUAAUAGCAAUCGCAAGCACUGAGGGAGAUCCAGUCACAAACAAUGCACCAUCAUCAACAACAGCCUCGAUGUGAAACAUCUCAUUUGCUCUCAAAUUGGUCAACCAUUAGAGUUUGUUUAAAUUCAGUUCUAUCUAGGUCUUGGAAAAUAUUAUUCCUGCACUUUCACUUAAUAUGCAGCAGUGUGUGAAGCCUUUCCUUCGUCUUACUUAGUCAAAUAACUGGGUACCAUGUUGCCCUUGAUGUUAAAAUUCUUCAAAAUAAAUGUUAUUGAAGGGGAAAUCUGGGGGGGGGGGGAACUCUUAAGACUGUUGGCAAAAGGAAAGGGGCGCUAUUGUACCUUUUGGGCCUUCUUAAUAUCUUCAUUCUAAUACUAAGUGAAAAGACACUGAAAGAAAUAAUAGAGAUGGACAUUUGAGUUCUACAUUGAUAGUUUAAUCAAGAUGCAUAUGGAUUAUAUGUGACAUCCUAUAACAUUUAGCUAUUCUGCUCCCCACAUAUCAGAUGUUGGUUUUAUUUUAUUUUUUUUUUCCAAAAAGUAGAAAAGAAUAGCUAUGGAAUUCUAAUAUUCUGUGAGCUUACUUAUAAAGUUUCUCCAAGAAAGUUUACAUUUACAUGCAAUGGGCAGAAAAGUCUAUUUCACGUAAAAGACAAAUUCAGGAUCUGGAAAGACUGUUUUUAUUGGAGAGUUAAAACAGAAAAUCAGUCUGUCUUACUGAGUCAGUUUUUGACUAUGGGUGCAGAACUUGAGACACAAAUUGCUGGUUUUCUGAGCAAGUCUGGCUCCCACUGACUACACUGGUACUACAGAGUGGCCAGGAGCUUUCUGCUCAAUGAUCUAACUGCCUUGAGCUCAGUUCUGAAACCAAGAAAUCAAAAAGCAGAAGUACGCUUUGGAAUGACAGUGAUUCUUAGGUUCUUAAUAGUAGUUUCUUCAGAUAUAAAGCAGAGAUGUCUUGGCUUUCACCCAGGAUCUGAUGAGCAUUCAGAACUCAGCAUUUCAGUAGCACUGUUUUGUUCUGAAAGAGUCCUUGAGUUAUGUUUAGCCUUUAGUAUGAGGAUUUUGUUCUUGCUGGGUUAAUUACAAAUGUAAGGCCACUAAGGCCUCGAGCAUUAAACAGUAGUUUUGUUUUUCCAAUAGAAUUUUUCAUUUGCAUCUUUCCCCAAGUUCUAAAUCUGUUUCUAGACCUCAGAGUAGUGUGUAGUGAUAAAUAUUUUUAAAUAAAAUUCAUGACAUCAGAGUGUUCCUUGAUUUGAAUUUGAAGCCAGGCAGUGUUAGCAUAUAAUGCCCAGACCAAUAAUUGCUACAAAUUGAUGUUAAAUUCAUGACAGUUGCUUCUUAACUUACACCUGUAGGAAUAAAUGAAGUCAUUCUCCUCUACUUAAUUCUCUAUGAAAGUAAUGCCUCCUGUUUAUUUCCAUGGAAACUACAAUAGCUACAAAUUUGAUAGAGCAAAUUCUCAGCUACAAAAAAACCUGUUUUUCAACAUAGGCACCAUCAUUAACUACACAUUUUCACCAGCAAUGAACAAGAACCUGCAUGCUGCACUCAGAAAAAUCUGCACCAGCUGAGGUGACACAGUUGGUGCUGCUACUGCUGAAACACACCACUCACUGUGUCACUGUGCUCACACCUGCUACUUGGUCUCCAUCAGCAUUCAGCAAACAUCAGUGAAUGCCAAUGGGUGUCAUUUUUUCCACAUCAAGGAAUUCAACCCCAGACCUUUAUUUCAGAAGCACUUCCCUGUCAGAUGUCAUUUUGUCAGACUGCCCCUUUGUUGCCAUCUGUUACAUGGCAACAAAAUGUAAUGGGAUAUUGGUGAGAAGGUUCAGCCUCUACUGCCAUACCACCACCAUCUGCCUGUGACAUCAUGGACCAACAAAACACAAUAGGACAAAAUAGGAGGCAUUACUUUCAGAGCAGCUUUCAUGUAUUAAAAAUAGGCUUUACUUGGAUUAUUAGAAUAUCAAGUGGUGCUUAUAACGUGUGUUGAUAUAUACAUUUAUCAUAGUUUUUACAUACCUUGCAUAUUUGAGUGCCUGAAUUAGACUGAUUGGGGAAUGAGUAAGAUGAAGGUAAUAUUAUGAUGAAAAGAUUCCUAGGAAAAUCAUUGCUGACUUUUUUUUUUAAAUACAUUAUACAACAAUCUGAAUUAAGAGCCAAAGUCCCUUGCAUAUCCCAGACGGUGUACCAUUUUCCCUUACAAUGUUCUCCAACUGUGCUCAUUGAAGCUGAAGGCAUAGGUCUAGAAAAAAACUGUACGUUACAACCUCAAAAAUGAAAAUUUAGUUAUAUAUUUAAUAUUAUAAUACAUAAAUAUAUUUAGUUAUAUAUUUAAAAUAUAAUGUAUUUAGUUAUAUAAUACAGAUAUGGCAAUUUUAAGAUCAAAUUUUAUAUGACUCAUUUAUUUUAUUUCUAGUAUUUAUUAUGCAUUUUCUGAACAGUAGUCUAGGAGUGUUUUAAACUGUUGAAAAUGCGAGAUGCAUCAUUCUUUUAAUUUUGCUAAAGGCUUGUUUUUUACCCUAAGAAUCCCUAGAGCACAUCUUCUAAGCUUUGUUUGGGUGAAGUUUUAUGUCCUCAGAGCAAAACAUUGCAAACAGAAUGAUAUAGUUGUGAUUAAUAUGCUGUGUAUGGGGACAUCUGAAAUCGUAGGAGUUCUCAGAUUUGCCUCUGCAAGAGCCAAAAUGCACUGACUAGGUGUUUUAAUAUGAGACCAGGUUUGUUUGUUUUUGACAAAGGACAGAGACAGCUUCCUGAGUACUAAACUUAUGUGCAGCAACUUGGAUCAUGAGAAUUAAUCUGGUAGCAUAUCUAAUGAUACAAGCUGUUCCAUGUAGGAGACAGGAGUCCCUCUUCUACAAAUAGCUUUUCAAAACUGGCUCUUAGACACAUGCAACUAACCCUACACAUUUAUGCCUAUAGCUACUAGCAAUCUGAAUUGCAACACAUGCAAGACUCUCCCAUACACAAAGAAUGCCUAUUACACGGUUCUGUUAUUUCACAUAGCCAGAACUUCAACACAGAAAAAUGUUACAUAUACGUUUCUGAGUUUGAGACAUGUGAGCAUGAUAAAUACAGAAUAUUCUGAAACUAUCAAAAAAAAAAACCAGCUCAGUGUCAAGUAUAAGGGUGAUGAGCUGUGCUCCUUCAAAGUAGAGCACUGAUACAGCAUUCCCUCCUGCCUAUAGGCCAUAGGGAUCUAUGCUGGUUUCCUGCUAAGGUACAGCUGGGUUUAUCUGAGAAUUCUUCUGUUCUUGAUUCAUGGCAUUAUUUUUUUUUGGUCUUGCUUUAUCAGUCUGAAUCUGUAUUGUGAUUGUUGGGCUGCAUCUAAUAGUGGUUACUCUCUCUGAAUGUAACCUGUGAUUUUGUUUUCUGGCUUGGCCUUGGACCCAAUUUGUCACCAUGGAUGUCUGUUGAAUCUGGCUGUUUUCCCUGGCUCUGUCCUGCUUGGGUGUUGUGAGGCUAGAUCUCGGCUAGUGAGGCCCUUGCCCUGCUGUCUGUGGUAUCAGGUUUAAGUCUGCAUUCCUUACGGAGCAGCUGAUUCUGCAGGCAGUUCUGCACUUGUACAACUGCUUUUAUUUCUUGCACGUUGAUCUCUAGACUUUCUCUAAGAGCCAUCUAAGGAGUCAGAGCUAUUGCUGAAGUCUAGCUAUGUGAUUUCAAGUACUUCUCUAUUACUCUCAAAAGCCUAUUACAUUCUUAAAUAAGGUAUGCAAGUAGAUAUCACUUGAUGUACUUUUAACAAAUGUUUGCUAGUUAUUAAUAUCCCUACUGAAAUUUCAAUGUUUACAAAUACUCAUUUAAGUACCUCAGGAAACUGUUAGUAAGCUGCUGUCUUUAUCCCAAGACGUUCCUGUCUUGCUCCAAUUUACAGGAGGGAGAGGAGGUUCUUUGAAAUAUGUAUACCCGGCGUGAGAUUAAGAAACAACGGUUCAGACGUUGGUCCGACCAGCUUAUAAAAUCCUUAAUAAGGGGGAUGGGGAAAGGGAGGACAGACACUAUUACGGAUUGGGGUGAUGGGGAAGGGAAGGCGGGCGAUAGAAAAGAUAGAAAUAAGCAAGAAUUGUGUAAAGCGGGGAUAGUCACCACCAGGAUCCGGCAGUAGUCCCGUUGCACGACGUUCCGAUGGUCCGGGGCAAAAGCGCAGGGGAAGAGCAGCAGCGGUGUGGCCGGUCUUAGGCAGCGAGAAGGUGCAGGCAGGUACCGAGUAGGUCCAGGAAGAAGUCUGGGCGGAAGCAGCAGGUCUCCGGUAGCAGGCCCUGGAGAGUCAGUCAGCAUGCAGGCCUUUUGUAGUGAGGGAUCUGAUGGCAGACACCUUCUCGGAGGGGUGAGCAGCAGCAGAGAGGCCAUCCUUAGGCAGCAAGCAGGCCUCUUCUAGAGUUAAUGAAUGCUUUCCAACUUCGUAUGCAAAGGGUAAAUUGCUCUGUGAUCCGGGUGGAGUACAAUGGAAGAGCCUUCCCAGCCUUUGUGUGUGAGUUUCCCUGCAAGGAGAUAAGAGCCCAUGGUGAGCUGAGAUAUACCCACAUCCCUUCCUGGCAGACAGUGAACUGGUCUGAAAAGAAACAAAGGUUCAUGGUAAGAGAGCAACAGCUUAAGAG